UUACGGCCACAUCACGUUGAAACACUGGCUCCCGUACGGUCGCCGAAGUUAAGCAACGUCGAGCCGGGUCAGUACCUAGAUGGGUAACCGCUUAGGAAUACCAGGUGCUGUAAG